UCGUGCUAGGUGGGGCGCUAGGGGUGCCCUGUAUCCGAAACCCUCUUCAUGCGGAGCCGAGUUCCCCGUCCGAGGGAUUGAUGACAUCGGGGGCGUUUAGCCCUGAUGCCGGGAAAGCGAUGUUGACGAUCGGGUCCUGCGCGGCGGAACCCCAUAAACCGGGUCAGGUCCGGAAGGAAGCAGCCCCAAGUGGAUCGUUCCGGGUGCCGCAGGGUCACCUGGUCUGAGUUGGCGCCCGGUAUCAACGGUGUUCGUUCGUUUCGAAGACGGGGGCACGA
rnacentral:SRP_RNA from 1 species